CGAACGGGUGAGUAACACGUGGGCAAUCUGCCCUGCACUCUGGGACAAGCCCUGGAAACGGGGUCUAAUACCGGAUAUUACCUUCGGGCGCAUGCCUGGGGGUGGAAAGCUCCGGCGGUGCAGGAUGAGCCCGCGGCCUAUCAGCUUGUUGGUGGGGUGAUGGCCUACCAAGGCGACGACGGGUAGCCGGCCUGAGAGGGCGACCGGCCACACUGGGACUGAGACACGGCCCAGACUCCUACGGGAGGCAGCAGUGGGGAAUAUUGCACAAUGGGCGGAAGCCUGAUGCAGCGACGCCGCGUGAGGGAUGACGGCCUUCGGGUUGUAAACCUCUUUCAGCAGGGAAGAAGCGCAAGUGACGGUACCUGCAGAAGAAGCACCGGCUAACUACGUGCCAGCAGCCGCGGUAAUACGUAGGGUGCGAGCGUUGUCCGGAAUUAUUGGGCGUAAAGAGCUCGUAGGCGGCUUGUCGCGUCGGAUGUGAAAGCCCGGGGCUUAACUCCGGGUCUGCAUUCGAUACGGGCAGGCUAGAGUUCGGUAGGGGAGAUCGGAAUUCCUGGUGUAGCGGUGAAAUGCGCAGAUAUCAGGAGGAACACCGGUGGCGAAGGCGGAUCUCUGGGCCGAUACUGACGCUGAGGAGC
rnacentral:rRNA from 1 species